rnacentral:rRNA from 1 species
UGGGGAAUAUUGCACAAUGGGCGCAAGCCUGAUGCAGCCAUGCCGCGUGUAUGAAGAAGGCCUUCGGGUUGUAAAGUACUUUCAGUCGGGAGGAAGGUGUCAAGGUUAAUAACCUUGGCAAUUGACGUUACCGACAGAAGAAGCACCGGCUAACUCCGUGCCAGCAGCCGCGGUAAUACGGAGGGUGCAAGCGUUAAUCGGAAUUACUGGGCGUAAAGCGCACGCAGGCGGUUGAUUGAGUCAGAUGUGAAAUCCCCGGGCUUAACCCGGGAAUUUGAUCUGAUACUGGUCAGCUAGAGUCUUGUAGAGGGGGGUAAGAUUCCAUGUGGAGCGGUGAAAUGCGGAGGGAUGUGGAGGAAUACCGGUGGCGAAGGCGGCCCCCUGGACAAAGACUGACGCUCAGGUGCGAAAGGGUGGGGAGCAAACAGG